UCCUGCCACAAGGUAGGGCUUCCUGAGCAUCGGUCAUAUGGGAGCUUCCACGGCUUUUUAAGACUUUUGGAGUUAAUGGAGACCACAACAUAAUCUGUGAUCACAUGGAA